rnacentral:rRNA from 1 species
AUUGAACGCUGGCGGCAGGCUUAACACAUGCAAGUCGAGCGGUAGAAAGUAGCUUGCUACUUUUGAGAGCGGCGGACGGGUGAGUAAUGCGUGGGAAUCUACCUGGUAGUGGGGGACAACAGUUGGAAACGACUGCUAAUACCGCAUACGCCCUACGGGGAAAGGACGGGGGAGUCUUCGGACCUCGUGCUAUCAGAUGAGCCCGCGUGAGAUUAGCUAGUUGGUGGGGUAAAGGCCUACCAAGGCGACGAUCUCUAGCUGGUCUGAGAGGAUGAUCAGCCACACUGGGACUGAGACACGGCCCAGACUCCUACGGGAGGCAGCAGUGGGGAAUAUUGGACAAUGGGCGGCAAGCCUGAUCCAGCCAUGCCGCGUGUGUGAAGAAGGCCUCGGUUG